rnacentral:rRNA from 1 species
UACGUAGGGUGCAAGCGUUGUCCGGAAUUAUUGGGCGUAAAGAGCUCGUAGGUGGUUUGUCGCGUUGUUCGUGAAAUCUCACGGCUUAACUGUGAGCGUGCGGGCGAUACGGGCAGACUGGAGUACUGCAGGGGAGACUGGAAUUCCUGGUGUAGCGGUGGAAUGCGCAGAUAUCAGGAGGAACACCGGUGGCGAAGGCGGCAUCCUGGACCGACACUGACACUGAGACGCGAAAGCGUGGGGAGCAAACAGG